rnacentral:misc_RNA from 1 species
UCUCCGUAGGUGAACCUGCGGAGGGAUCAUUACCGAGUGAGGGUCCUUGUGGCCCGACCUCCAACCCCCUGUCUUCCGACUCUGUUGCCUCGGGGGCGACCCGGCCCUCGUGCCGGGCGACCCCGGAGGUCCAUCAAACUCUGCAUCCUUGCGUCGGAGUAUUGAAAGCAAAUCAAUCAAAACUUUUAACAACGGAUCUCUUGGUUCUGGCAUCGAUGAAGAACGCAGC